rnacentral:rRNA from 1 species
CCUACGGGAGGCGGCAGUGGGGAAUAUUGGACAAUGGGCGAAAGCCUGAUCCAGCAAUGCCGCGUGAGUGAUGAAGGCCUUAGGGUUGUAAAGCUCUUUUACCAGGGAUGAUAAUGACAGUACCUGGAGAAUAAGCUCCGGCUAACUCCGUGCCAGCAGCCGCGGUAAUACGGAGGGAGCUAGCGUUGUUCGGAAUUACUGGGCGUAAAGCGUACGUAGGCGGUUAUUCAAGUCAGAGGUGAAAGCCCGGGGCUCAACCCCGGAACUGCCUUUGAAACUAGAUAGCUAGAAUCUUGGAGAGGUUAGUGGAAUUCCGAGUGUAGAGGUGAAAUUCGUAGAUAUUCGGAAGAGCACCAGUGGCGAAGGCGACUAACUGGACAAGUAUUGACGCUGAGGUACGAAAGCGUGGGGAGCAAACAGGAUUAGAUACCCUGGUAGUCCACGCCGUAAACGAUGAUAACUAGUUGUUCGGGCACUUGGUGCCUGAGUGACGCAGCUACGCAUUAAGUUAUCCGUCCGUCGGGUAGGUACGGUCGCGAGAGUUAAACGUACAAUAGAGUUAGACGGUCGUGUAGACGUUGUCCGACGGACGACGACGAGGGGAGGUAGG